AAUGCGGGCCGGGCGCGCUCGCGGGUGUUCGCUGUGCGGUAUGCCGACGUCUCCGUGAGACCUGAGGUUCUGCCCUGGAAAACGUGGAGGGGAGUUCUUUAAGCCGCCCGGAACCGGGGAGGAUCCCAUGUGAGAGCCCACAUUCCGACGGCCAAGUCUCCUUAGACUCCCCUUGGCCGUGACAGUUUCUCAAGACUUUCCUGGGUUUUGAUGACCUUGACGGUUUUGAGGAGUACGGGUCAGGUAUUUUGUAUAAUGUCCCUCAAUUUGGGGAUCUGGCUGUUUUUCUGGGGUGAAGACUUUUCACUGUAAGCCUUUGAAUAGUUAUUUUUUAGAUGUCUGAAUUAUGUUAAUCUAUAACCUAUUUAUGUUAAUCUAUAACCUAUUAUGUUCAUCUAUAACCUAUUUAAAUGUUUAAAUAGGUUAAUGGAAAAGACAAACUGCAGGAGUUCAGGAAGGAGGAAGGGGAGGCAAAGGAAGAAGGGAAGGGGAGAGGUGAAGAGGAGGGGAAGAGGAGGAGGCGGAGGGGCAGGCUGCCGCUGGGGACUUGGCCCAUGCAGCCCUGGGCCGGUCGGCGCCGUCACCUCCCGGCCGGCCGAGCCCCGCGGCCGCCAGGGGACGCUGUGCGGAGAGGUGGCGGCCGCCCAGCGCGGUUCCGGCCCGGCCGCGGCUACUCCAGUGGGACUGGGGUCACAGGGCGCCACCACCGCAAGCAGGGCGCCAGGCUGGCCCCGACGCUGAGGGGCCGCCGACACGCAGACCUUUUAUGGAAGGUGCAGGGCGCAUGAGUUGGGGGCGGUGGGGGCACACGGUGCGAAUAUCUCGCUCCAUAAAGUGCCUCCUCCAUCUUUUAAAUACACGUGCCACCAAUUUGUAAAGACUUCCCUGAGCCUCUGAGGACCACGACACCGCACACACCCCACACACAUGCUUCUUUAACAGCCUGGAUGAGGCCCGCGUGGCACCUCUCAGAUGCUCUGGGGGCGACCAGGGGCCGGGUGCGCCCCGAUUGAGUCCGGAGUAAAAGGUGGUCAGUGCCACAUGCCAGCAGGGUGGCAGGCGAGGGAGUGGGGCUGCAUACAGAGGGUCCUGCGGAGUCACAGUGAGUGACCGAGGCCGAGGACUGGCAGCCAAGGGUUUCAGGCCGCGCCUGCGCAGGAGCCGCCACAAGCAGCCCAUGCGACCUCUGGGCCUUUGCACCGGCUGUACCCACUGGCACGCCCUGCCGCCCCUCAGGCCGCUUUGUUGUGACGCGGAGAUCUUCCUUGGCCUUCAUCAGCCAGGUCAGAGGACACCUCCUCGCCGAAACCCUGAUCCUCCUUUCCUUCCGCAUCUGCCUCCUUCCCCACCCUCCUCCAGAGGCUGAAAGCUGUCCUUCCUCCCGCUCAGCGCUGCCCCCUGGAGGCUCCUUUAGUCCCACUGCCCCAACAGCAUGAAAGGUUGGGUACGGUUGCCAGUCACUUCACCUACGCGCAAACGCAAAUUCAGAGAGAUCAGGCGUCCUGUCCAAGUUCCAACCAUCACCCUCCCUCCCGCUCAGCAGUUUCCCAACGUUUUUCCCCACACGCAUCUUCUAAAAUUAUUUUGAAAAACAUAUGUGUACCUCCUCUUUUAGCUGAUAUCUAAACUUUCUCAUUAUAAGUUAAAACGGUUGCAAAGGAUGUAAUUUCCAGUAUGUUGUAAAUGCUGAUUUAAAAAAAAAAAGAGUAGAUGACAUUUUUAAAUGUGCCCAAUGAAAUCUAAAUGCUCUACGGAUUCCAUACAAACCAUAAUCUAUUUUUAAUAGACAUGAAUAAACCCUCUAACAUUUGGAAAGUUUACAUUUAAUUUCCCCUUUGAACUCAUAUUUCCAUUCUUCUCUCCCUACAAAAUUUUAUCCUCUUAUUUUUUAUCCUCAUAUAAUACGUAUUUUAUGUUUGAAUGCUUUUAUUGGUCACCUAGCCUGCCUCUCAGCAGCAAAAAUAUGUGCAAAAGUUGAAAUUUUUUUUGUUUUCUGUUACCAUAAGGCUCUAAGUGUCAAAAUUUCUUCUAGAUGAACAUUUUACUUUUAUUCGUACACAAUAAAAAAUCAUAAAUAUAUUUACAGAUUUGAAGAAUGAUUAUUAAAUGGAAAAUGUCAAAAAUGAAUAUCCAUGAUAUGGCUGUGACUUUUUUAUCCCUCUUAGUUCAUGUCUGGGGGGACAACUGUUACUUUUUGCUAGAAUGAGAUGGGGUUCAGCAUUAAUUCUAUUCCUGUUUUUCCUAUUUAGAGAUAUCAAGUCUGAGAAACCUUCACAUGAAGAAGUAAAAAAGAAUGGAAAAAGUUUUGUUGCAGCACCAAAACAAUCUCUUAGACACAUUUCAAGUUAUAUACUAAGAAUCACUUAUCAGAAAUUACUCUCAUCAAUCUAUCAGCAUGGUUAGGUCCUCUUUCAGUUUUGAAUCGGAAGCCACAAUAAUUAAGUGACAGCAGCCCAGGAGACCAAGCCACACCCAGCAAGCACAUGUAAAGUCCCUGCCGUGGGUAUGUCCAUCACAAUUCCAUUGGCACACGCAAGUCGCAUGGCCAAGUUCAACAUCACUGGGGCAGUGGGAGAGGGGGUAGAGUCCCAGGACAAAGGAAGGGAGGAAAGAGUUGAGAACAGUAAUGCAAUGUACCACCCGUACACAAGUCCCCGCAACCCACCCUCACCCUUAAUCCCCGUGAGAAGUCUUCCUAAGCACAAAUAGGAAAAUAAACGCUUGGGUUUUAGGUAUGUAAAUGGGAUCCUGCUGUACUUACAGUUCUGUGACUUACUUUUUCC